UCUCCUUGUUGUGCACGUCUUUGGGGCAGUAACUAUGAAUAAUGAAAGAUGAGAAAGUAUGAUUUUGGGACAGUGUAAACAAUCUUCCUUUUUCAAGGUGAAGAAACAGUUUCAGGGAGGCUUCUACAGUAGUGGCAGGAUUCCAAUCCAGAUCUUCCUGACUGCAACUCAUUCCACUCUAGCACAUUGCUUCCCUAAAGGCAGAGGAAGACACAAUGACUUAUUGUUGUCACUAUGUUCCACAAUAAAACAAAAUAUAUCGAAGUUUAAACUUGCAAAAAAGAUGAAUUGGAAUGUGCCUGGUUACAAAAGUAUUUUAUAGAGUUCCUAAAUGUUUAAGUUCCCCAAAUGAAUUUAAAAUACUUCCAAUAUUUAAAAAGAUUUAUGGAUUUUGUCCAUCAUUUAGCCUCAAGCCUUGAGAGGGACAGUAUCACAGUAGAGAGAGUAAUCUUGGGAGCCUGAAGACACAAUUACUACACAAAUGGGUGUAAGUCAAUCCUCACACAGUUUACUUUCUUCAUCUAUACAAUGGAGAUAAUUAUAUUCAUACAGCUUGCCUCAUAGGGUUGUUUUGAGGGGAGAAAAUCUUUGUGAAUCUUUGUUGUAUAAAUUAGAAUUUUAAAAAAUAUUUAAAAUUAUGGCUCUGGUCCUUCUCCAGUCACUCCCCUCAAAAUCUUCAUCUGGUGUCUGGCCAGUCUUCUGGUAAGAAGUUUCUGAAUUUAUUAACGAGGCUGAUCUUUGGACAGCUAAAAUACAACCUGUCACCAAUCCUGUUUUUAAAGACCAUUCCAGCUUGGCAGGUCCUGACAGAACUUGGACUCUUGGAUCACUAACAUGAAAAAGAUCUGGGGAUUUUAGUGGUCCUUAAGCCCAAUUAGAGUCAACUAGCAACUUUAGACUCCAUUUAGAAAUCCUUAGUUAAGGGCUUCUAAAUGGAGUCUAAAGCUGCUUUAGCUGUUUUAGUAAUUCAACUUAUACUAUGUCUUGGUUGGAGCCCAUUUGGAGUGUUGAGUUUAGCUCAAGGUGCCACAGGAUAAGAGGCACCCAUAGGCUAGAGGACUUCCCAAGUGGGGCAACCUAGACAGAAAGCUCCCUCCUAUUUCCAUAAUAACUCAUUUAAUUUUCCCUGAAGGACUUGGAGAUUUUUAGCACAAAGAGUAGACUAAGGGGACCCACAAUUAGUUGUUUUGAAAUAUUUAAAGUUCAGUCAUCAAGAAAGGGAAUUCAAAAUUUUCUUUCUGAUCUGAGAGAACAGAACUAAAAAGCAAAGGCCUGAAAAACUAGGAUUGAUGGAGGAAUAGAGAUAGGGACAGGAUCUAUGAUUUUAUGGGUGUAAGGAACUGUCAGGUGAGGAAACUUUCUCCAUCAAUGCAAGUCAGCAUCUUCUCUGCAACUUAAUGUCUCAGAGAAAUGUCUAGGGAAUUGAGAGGUUGGUUUGCCCACGGUCACAGAGCCAAUAUAUAUUACAAGCAGGCUUAAACUCAAGUCUAGGAUUUGAGGUCAGCUCAUAUAGAGCUCUUCAAAUGAUUAGAGCUCUCCAAAAGUGGAAGGGGUUCUCUUGGGAGGUUGGGGUCCUCCUCACUGGAGGUCUAUAAGCAAAAUUUGCUGGAUGUAUUGAACAGGGAUUUCUUUUCUUAAUCAAUAUGAGUAAAAUUAGGUAGCUAUUGAGGCCCUUUACAACUCAGAUUCUGUGAGUCUGUGACUUUACCAAAAGAAUUUAAAAUAUAAUGUGAUUUAGAGAUAACUUAUCAGCUCACUCCCUGGGUUACACAUAUGUAAAUGUAGAUAUAUCCUGUGAAGGGCUCCUCAGACUAUGAGUGUGCUGAUAAUUAUUAAGAGUUAAGAUUCUGGUGGGGGAAGAAAGGAGGGAUGUACAUGUGAUAUACUUUAAGAAGUUUAAUUUGUAUCAUUAAUACUUUCUUUAGCCUAGAAAUUAACAAAAUAAAUUUCAUCCAGAUUUGUAGUAAUUACUAAUUUCUGAGGUGUACAUGAUUACAAUGAAAAUUUAAUAAUUGGCUCUUUUUAAUUACAAGCUGCUUCCAGCACAUCCCUGCCUAUAUACUAUUUUAUAGUUCAGAGAAAGAAAUUUCAAAAUAAAUGAUCCAGUCCUUUCAACCAUAUCAGUUUAAUAUAACAGGAAUCUUGCUACUGAUCCUAUCAGCUGAUACAUUUUUUUUUUUUUCCUUUGGUACCGGCAAGAGCUAGGUUUGACUAUAAUCUUUUUGUGAGUCCAUUCAAAUACACUUCUGUCAAACCUCCUAAUCUUUUCAGCCCUUUUGCUUUCACAUAGUAUGGAGAGAUUAUUUUUAGGUUGCAGGUGGAUAGCAGUGGCAACCUAUUCCUUCAGAUUGCUCUGCUAUCAGUAAGGCUUAUCAAGUGAACUGGGUAUAAAUUUGUUUCCUACGUUAAUAUUGACUCUGUUCUCAUAGGAACAAUAUUAGCAGCUCAGAAAUAGAUUUAGAACAGAAAAGGACCUUGGAGAUUAUUUAAUCCAAUUCUUCUCAUUUUAUUGAGGAGUAAACUGAGGUGAGAAAUAAUUUGCCCAGAGUUACACAGAUAAUGAGAGAACUGUGAUUCGAACUCAGGUCUUGUUUCCAAAUCCAGAAUUCUAUCUUAACUAUACCAUCUUGUCUUUUGUUUUUUCUAGCCAGUCAAUAUGGCAUAGUGGUAGAAGGUUAGAUUUGGUGCCAGGAAGAGCUGGGUUCAAGUUUUCUUUAGUGGUGUGACCAAGGAAUCUUUCUAUGACUAUAAAUUCUAUAGUACCAGAAUUAUAGAUUACUAGGGGAAAUGAACUAUUUCCAUAACAGCUCAUUUGAUCUAAUGCUUUAUAUGACAUUAUGUUAUUUGAGUUCUGCUGUAAAGACCGCGUAUUUAAAGUCAGCCGGAGUCAGGAAUUCAGGUUAAGGGAAAAAUCUUCAAUAUUUAUUGAAGUGAAGAGGUGAAUAAAGAUUGCGAUAGCAAAUAUAGGCAAGAAAGAUUACGAUAGCAAAUAUAGGCAGUUGCGACAGGAAGCCAGCUAAGAGAGAGCGACGCGAGCCGAGCCAACCGUGGCAAUGGCAGUCCCAAAAGUCUCUCCUCCCCUUCCUUUUCCACUCCCCUGCCCCCACCCACCAAAAUCGUCAUUUCCUAUACAACACAUCAGGACUUGCACAAAGAGUGGGUGGGGGCCAUUCUUUCUCCAAGCUUAUAUAUUAAUAGAGUAUGGUCCAAUUACUAUUUAGCCUCAUGUGCUUGGGAUCUCAGUGCAUCAACUCAAGCCUCAGCCCAUUACAUUCUACAAACACCUGAGUGAAUUAUCCCCAUUUUAGGGAUGAGAAAACAGAGGCUUGGAGAGAUUAAAUGACUGGUGUUUGGCCAGUCUCAAACAGGAUCUGAAAUCAGGUCUUCCUGAUUUCAAAGCUCUCCAUCUAGACCAAUAAACAAGUGAAUAAAUAAAUUGAAAAUAAAGCAAAAGGAAAGACUAAGAGAGUGGAGGAGUUGGAGCCUGAGAGGGGGAGCAAUCAGAACUCUUCGUCCUAAGCAGUAACCUGGAGCACCCAUAUAAAGCUAAGAAAAUGGAAAGAGAUGGAAGGUCACUUGGCUGUCUGUACUAUCCCAAGCAUGGUCCAGGGAUUGCUUUUGAAAGCUAAGAAUGCUGUGUAUGCAAAGAUACUCCACCAAGUCCUAUUAUUCGAUAACAAAUCCAGCGCACAUUCCACCCAUGUGAAGAACACCAUAAAACUAAGCUGUCAUCUUCUCCAUCACAGAAACACCCAGGCAAGGCCUAACAAAGCAUUUUCGUAAGCUUAGGGCAUAGCUUGUUACUAUUCUUUGGAAAUUUUAAAUAUUUAUAUUUCAUUUUAUUCCUUACUAAUUUAAAACAGCCCCCAAAGGAAUUUGAGUCUUCUCCCUCACAGAAAAUACAAUAACCUGAUGCAAGACAGAGUGACUCAUUAUAAAAGCAAGUUUAAGAAUACAAUCGAUUAUGAUCUUCCUUUGCAGAGCAUAGAAGAGAUGGAACCAACCCUGCAAUUUUCACUCAGUAUUAGCUUUCGGACUCCAGGGGGUAGGGACGGAUGGGAAAAGCGAUGAGGUUUAUUUGUCUUGCCUGCUUAUAUUUUAAGCAAUAAUAUAUUCAGCUUCAUUCUAUUUUAAGAGUUCAAUUAUGUCUGUUUCAGGCAAAUUGAAAGCCAAUGGAAAAUUACAAAAGGAUUUCCCUCCCCCCCCCCCCCCCAAGAAAAGCCACCAUGCUUACAGAACCACAGUAUUUUUAUUUGUCUUUCCAAAAUCUAAAAUCAGCAGAACUAUUGUCUAAGGCUUCUUUCUUCAUAAACUGCAAAUGAAGGCACGGCAGACUUGGUGGCUAUUUUACUGCUAGCAGUGGGCACUAGUUAAUCCCAAUCUUUGUGGGCAGUGACCUAGAAUAAGGGCAGUGUUUUUUUUUUUUUAAUUGUUGUUGUUGUUGUUUUUUCUCUUCAUUUUUUUUUUUUUUUAACAUGAUGGAAUACUUUAAAGAGACUUGGGGGAAAAAGUAGGAAAGAUGUCAAGAUGAGUUUAUUAUGGUUAUAAAGGCAAAGGGAGAUCAGUAAGAGGGAGGAAAAACAGUGAAAGCCCUAUUUCUUCUUUGUCUAUUUGCUUUACCAUUUUAGAAACUCCCAGUGUGAUUUUAAAAUGUACAUAGAUAUGUAAUAGUCCAGAUUGGGCUAUAACCAAUGAAACUUAACUCCACUAAGCAACCUAAAACUAUUGACAAAUUUAUACAAAUCCUACCAUGCUACCCAGUUGACUCUUAAAAGCCAAAAAAUUCAAACCAAACCAAACCAAACAAAAAAAAAAUAAGAAAACAAACAAACAAAAAACCAAAAAACAACAAGGCAAAGAUUAAUUUAAUCAAUCUAACAAUUAUUAAACUGAAGAAAUGGAAAGAGAUAAAAGUCACUUGGUUAUCUAUAGUAUCCCUAGCAUGGGCAGCAUAGGCAAAGAACCAUGUUACUUGCAUUUCUUAUAUACCUCUCACUAAGAUCCGAUACAGUAUCAAGCACAUCACUGACACACAGAUGUGACAGUAACUCACAUUUAUAAAAUGUGCUUCCCUCAACAACUUUAUGAGGUACAUUCAUCCCAGUAUUAUUACCUCCAUAUCACAGGUGAGGAAACUGAGGCACAGAUUUGUUUAGUGAUGUAAAGCAUUUUAGUAAGGGGGAAAAACCACUGUAUUUGGAGUCAAGGAAUCUAUAUUUGAAAAUAGGCUGACAUUUUCUAUCUGUAUGACUUCAGGCAUGUGACUUCACCCCUCUGAGAUUCAGCUUCCUUGACUGUAAAUUGAGAUGGUUGGUUCUAAUGCCCUCUGAUUUUCCUUCCCUAUGCUCAAAUAAUGUCACAUGUCCAGAAAGGGGUCAAAUCCCUUCUUAUUCCUAGUAAGAGGGUUCUUCUGGUCCACUGACUCAUCUCUUCCUCAAGACCACCCUAUGUGUCAGUACAACCAUCUCCCAAGUCCUCUGACUCCAAAUUCAGUGUGCUUUCCACCACACCAAACUGCUUGUAAGUUGACUGACUGGCAUUUGGCUGUUGGAGUGAGACUGGGCCCCUGGAACGAUGUCAGAAUGUUUGACUGGAGUCCAAAAAAUCUGCACUGUUACCAAUCAACUGUGCAUGGCCUCUUGCUUCAGCUGCUCAUCAAAAAUUUAAGUGGAAUUAGGGAAGUAUGCAGGGCUUUUGUGUCACCUUCAACCCACAAAUAGUUUUUUUUUUUUUUUUUUUUUUUUUUUAAGGGAUUACCUUCUGUUUCCUCUCUACAGGAGCUGGAGGCAGCUAUCACCUGCCCAGGCACCCAGCCCAAAUCUGACAUCAUAGAUAACUCAGUCAGUAGUGCCCUGAAAACAGUGGGGACAUUUGAGAUUCCAAAGCCCAGCCCUUGAAGGCCAAAUAUGCCUUUUAGAGGCUGGCAGUCUUUGCAUUCUGUACAGGGAGGACUGGAGUUGUUUACAGAUGGAAAAUAAAAAAAGAACUAAAAACAAACACCAAAGUGCUAACAGCCAGCUGCUUUAGGGCUACCAAAAAGAUGCCAGGCUCUGUCUGACUCAUACAAGGACCUUCAGCAGGGUCACUGGAUCACCUUCUGCUGUCAUAAUCAGGCUCCCAUAGGCCAAGGAAAGGUGACAGUCGUGGAAGGGAUGGGUAAGAACAAAGUGGGCUUAAGGUGACCAAAAGACCAUUUGAUCCUGGCCUGGAUCUGAGCUUUUUUGGUAAACUGAAACUCCCUUCAGGCUCUUCCACACCAAUAGGAGAGAGGCACCUACUGUUUUCUAAGGGAGACUGAUACCAACUUAUCUUCCAGAUGAGACACAGUAAGAGCAUUCACAAGAACCACAGGGGGUGGAGGUGGAGGAAAACUGGAGAGGUUUCACUCAGGGGCAAUUCAAUCAGAGAAACCUACCUAAUACACUAAUACAAAUACAGGUGAACUUAAUAGCCUUCUCCCUGCUGAAGGAUAGGGAUAUGCAGAGAAGUCUGUUUAGAGAGAUGAGGAACCCAGAGGGUACCACUUGAAGAAUGUUCUACUCUUCUAGAAAAAUCAAUUUACACAUGGUUCAGAAAUGUAGCAAGUGUUAAAAUAGUGGACAAAGAGAAAGUUCCCUGGACAAGAGAGAAGCAUCUAAUUAGGAAAAAAAAGAUAGAACACACAUUUUGUAACUUGAGUUCCUAUAAGAUGGACUUUGACAUCAGAGAAAGAGGACACCAGAUAGGAUAGUUUUCCUUGUAAUUAAAUUGUUAUUGGAUCUUUUAUAAACAAGAGAUUUCUUAAUAGUACUCCCAAGUAAACUCCCUCUGUGACUACUCCUAUGUAUUUUCUUAAAAUAAAAAAAUCAAUAUAGUUUGUGCCUCUCACUCUCUUAGAAUAACCCCAGAGAUUAAAUAACUUGUCCUUCUUUACUGCAAGACAAAGAAAGGUUGAUCUGUUACAAACAACAAACAGAUGAGGGGCUCUGGAGGUUAAGCCUUCAAAAUAACCACAUUUUGCUGAUAGUUUUCUUAGGAUUGAGUGCCAAGCACUCAUCCAAAACAACCAUUUCAAAGGCUUGGAUAAUUAGAAACCUGGCUCAGAGACAAAACUCCCCAUCUCCACUGAUGCAAGGGACUAAAGAUGCUGAACAUAAGUGCAAACGGAAAUGACAAUAAUAAUAAUAUCUAUAUAUCAAUUUAAGGGUUUCAAUUGCAAUUUGGGUUUCAAUUUGCAAAUAUCUCAUUUUAUCCUCACAACCAACCUGAAAGGAAGAUGAAAAGAGAAUCAAAGAAUUUGAGUUGCAGAGUUCCUUGGAGAUCAUGAGGCAAUACCGUGUCCACACUUCUUCACAGACAACAGACCCAAUUCCAACCCCCUUUUCCCCUUCAUUUCAAUGGAAUGAAUUAUGAGAAAAUUCUACUGAGGCUCAGGGCUUCCAGACCACAUUACUACCUGUAUGAUCUUAGACUAAAUCAUUCCUUCUCUGGGGCUUAGUUUCAACAUGGCAAUCUUUGGAGGAAGGACCAGCCUUGAAAUCAGUUCUGCCUUGAACUGAAGACUUGCCUGUGACUUAUACUGUCUUUGUGAUCCUGCACAAGUCACUUGAACCUUUUAGUGAACCAGGAACUCUCCAAGACUAUAAAAUGACUGAUGACUGGCAGAUAGUCAUUGAUGCUGGGAAUAUACACACUGGCUAUUCCCCACCUGGUGAAAUCAGAUCCAGGGGCUCACUUCUUCAGAGAGAUAGGAUGGUUUUUAAAAAUCCUUUCCUGCUGGAAAUCUAAAAUCUUAUGAUCUUUUUUAUUAACUCUGACAGCAGGGUAGCCCCUGGACUUCAGAGAUUGACUAUCUGGGAUUAAGUUCUAGUUCUCGAUAGCUAUGUGACCCUGAGAAAAGUCACUUCACUGCUCUGUGCACCCAUUUCCUCAUCUAGAAGAUGGGAAGCCUUCACUACCUACACUUCACACAUGUUGAGGAAAAGUUGGUAUUUGAAUAUGACUUCUGGUUACUAAUAUAACAAGGUCAUAUAACAAGCAGAAAACAGGUGGCUGAUUUUUCUCCUCAAAGCAAAUGAGGUAUGAACUUAGAAUGAGACAGAAGGUUUACAGAAGAUUGGUGGGCUUUUUCACCCUUUCAAAUGGACUCAUUUUGAAAUGAUUUUUUU